ensembl:snoRNA
AUGAAGUUUUAAGAAACUUUGACUUCUCCAAGUAUUAUGUCAAAGGCUUGUGAUAUGUUGUGAUAGCUGGGUUUAAGAAGUGCAAUAUUAAAACAAAAGCCAUGAAUCUUUUAAGCCCAGUGUGUAAAGAUACACUCUGAGUUAUAACUCAGAGACACAAUG